rnacentral:lncRNA from 1 species
CCUGCAGGAAGGCCAGCAUCUACUUCCAGGAAGAAAACCUGGAGCCCAUGGUGGAGUGAGUGCCUCGGUUUUGGAGAGCUCCAAUGACCAUGAAAUUUUGCUUGUAAAUUCUGAUGCAAAGCAAACCAUUUCUAUCCUUCUCUCACAGUAGAGAUCCUCAUUUCUUUGAUCAAGUGCCUUCUCCAGACUCAUCCCAUUCCAACAAGCCCAUAUGGACUGUUGGCUGUAUAGAUUCUGCUAAGCUAAGCCCCUGGCCAUCUAGAAGCAGGAGAUAACCACAUUAAGCUUCCCAUUAUGUCCCUGAGCCUUUUGUUUUGCAAUUAUAGGAGUGCAGGUUCUGUCUAAUACAGAUGGGCAGAGGGCCAGGAAAAGACUCUGACCCUUCAUUGUUUAUGGGAGAAUCUGAACUCUGCCAGCACUCAAUAAAAGCAAAACAUCUGCAAUGUACCUGCCACUAUCAAUCAACGAAGAGCUAUUUUUCCUUCUAGUGUCUUAACUGAUGGGAUGAUGGUUCACUUCUCUGACUCCAGAGCUGCCCGUGGUCAAAGUUCAGCCCUCAUGUAUUUUGUGCAUUUCUGUGUGGCUGGUGAAAAUCCACAUGUGUAAUUUGCCGACGGUUCCUCAUUUCCCCCAUACUUUCCUCCUCCUGUGAUUGCUUCUCACAGUCCCUGCUUCUGUCUUUUGUGGAAGGAACUUUAUUUGCAUUCUUAGUUGCAGGAGAGAAAAAUGACACCUUUGGGAAUCAGGUCUAUCUUUAAGACUGUUCCAUUCUCAAAAACAGUCUUCUUGCUGCCCUUUCCUGUCUCUGCCUGCAGAGGCACCCUUUUCCUGUCACUUCCUGUGCUCCACUAAUACUACUCAGAGUUGAGUUAAAUUGUUUUCUGUCUGAGGUUCCCCUGGUAAGCAAGUUUAGGUCCCCUUGAUGUGAGUCUCAAAACUGAUCACUUUGUCAUUCCUGCAAAAAGAUUCAGCCUCUGAUAUUUAGCUUUUAUUCAUCUGAAAAACAUGCAUCAAUACUUCCCAAAUGCAUCAAGAAUUGUCUUGAGCUAAAUCCUGAAAGCAGGCUGAGGAGCAUCAGACGUAAUUAGCUCCUUCCUGCCACAUCACCUGGUACAUUUGCCAUCUGUACUAUGAUGAGACUGGGGUUAUCAUAUAAACCGCUCUGGGAGAACUAUGAUCAAUGGUGCCUUGAACUACA